AUGGGAACGCGAAGAACCUUACCUACUCUUGACAUCCAGAGAACUUUCCAGAGAUGGAUUGGUGCCUUCGGGAACUCUGAGACAGGUGCUGCAUGGCUGUCGUCAGCUCGUGUUGUGAAAUGUUGGGUUAAAGUCCCGCAACGAGCGCAACCCGUUAUCCUUUGUUGCCAGCGGUUCGGCCGGGAACUCAAAGGAGACUGCCAGUGAUAAACUGGAGGAAGGUGGGGAUGACGUCAAGUCAUCAUGGCCCUUACGAGUAGGGCUACACACGUGCUACAAUGGCGCAUACAAAGAGAAGCGACCUCGCGAGAGCAAGCGGACCUCAUAAAGUGCGUCGUAGUCCGGAUUGGAGUCUGCAACUCGACUCCAUGAAGUCGGAAUCGCUAGUAAUCGUAGAUCAGAAUGCUAC
rnacentral:rRNA from 1 species